CGUGUGGUAGGUCGUACCAGCUGAAUCUACAAUCUCCUGUGACGCCCGCGUUGUUGAGCGUAGCUUCCACAUCCAGCAACAUCGGCGGCGGCUCUUAUCCAUCCAUCAAGGAAACGAGCGUGUCUUAUCCAUUUACUAUGCGCCAUUUUCCCUUGACCCUGCGUUUGUACGAACAGGUGCAUAUCUUUCCUUUGCCUUACCAUCUCCUCUCUAUAUGAAUUAAAUUUUAGGCAUACAUAGCAGGGUCACCAAAUUAUUUUUUCUAAUAUUUUAUUUAGCAAUUAGAUUCUUGUAAUUUUGUAUUUUUUUGUGAAAUCGGAUCUGAAUCGCUAGGUAAGGAAGAAUGGUUAUAGUAAUAGAUAAAAUGAUCUUGCUUCCUCUAUGGUUCUAUAACAUUAGAAGCUCAUUCGUGAUGCAUACAUAACUGAUAUUGAUUUUGUCAAGUCAGUUGUGAGGCCUCCAUCUGGUAUUUGUGUCUAUACAUUAUCUUAUGAAUGUAUUUCCACUAUUUUGAAAAUAAAGUAGAGUGGCCGUCCUCUUACAGUCAAAGAGAGCUUAAAAAUAUAUAGUUCAAUCUUCAGAGAGACAAUAAAAAAAGUUAAGGGCGCAAGCUCAACUAUAUUUGGGAUGGCAAUCACGAAAUAUUUGUUAAGUGGAUGCAUCAAAACAUUGAGUUUGCUACAAAUUAUAAAAGCAGACUAAAGAAAAUAAUGACUAUAGACUAUAUACGAACAUAAUAAGAAACCUAAAAUUAAAUAAAUUUCGUCCUGAUAAAAUAUUUCAGAGAUAACAAUUUGAAAAAAAUAAGGCUGCUAUGUCCUGAUAAUUUUUUAGUCAGAUAAGAAUGGUUGUAAUUGUUUAUAACUAUAGCUGUUAGAAACCAAAUAUCUAUAAUAUAUCCUUGUAAAAAAAUGUUUUUUGCAACCUUGUCGGGCGGACGAUCUUCAUCUGAUAUGAGGAUCUUCAAUCCAUUUCUGCUGGUCACCCUUGACAUUGCAACAUAGAGUUGUCCAUGUGUGAACACUUGCCUUUGUAAGUAUAGUCCAACCUUUUUGAGGGAUUGCCCCUGGCUUUUGUUUAUAGUCAUAGCAAAGCACACUGAUAUUGGGUAUUGUCUCCUUUUUAGAAUGAAAGGCCAUUUUGAAUCACUUGGUGACAUGAUAAUUCGUGGGAUGUAAACUUUGCCACCAAUGUUAGUACCUGUUAUGACCCGGCCUUCGAUGAAACGCUUUCCUAGCUGUGUUAUUGUUAGCCUUAUCCCAGUGCAAAGUCCUGCACUUUGAUUUAUGUUCCUCAUAAGCAUUAUUGGUAAUCCUACUUUUAGCCUCAGUUCAUGAUCUGGUAUUCCAGAAAAUGUUAGACUAUUCAGAAACUCAGUUGGGUACAACAUAUCUUCAUCUUCCACCGUAGACAUUGCCUUGCAUGUUGUAUCUGAACUGAAAUAGGUUACCUCUUCUCCGGGAAUUUGACUCAUGAUGUAGGCAUUAAUCUGGUCAACAGUCUCGUUUCUUGGGCACAAGAUCGCUCUUUCCUCUAGGUAUGUUCUAUCAGUGUACUUGUUGUGUAAGUCAGGGUAGGUGCUAUUAACAAUAGAUGCUUUUGGGUAAUCUCCUUCAUGUAAAAUAAGGUCCUCUAGGAUGCUAACACAAUCCUCUUCAUCUUUUUUUGAUGUUGUGCCAUCACCGAUGUUUAGUAUCCAGUUUGCGAAUUCAGCUGUCUUUGCUUUCUCUUCUGGACUACCUUCUGUUGAAUUCAGACGCAUAUUUUCUGUGAGUCGAUACUCCUCAAAGUUCUUCCAUAGGUAAGAUCUCUUUAACAAUGCAGAAAUGAUAUGUUCCCUUUUCCCCUUCGGUAUAAUUGGCAGGAUUUGCCUGAAGUCACCUCCCAAGACUACUGUCAUUCCUCCAAAUGGUCUAUGCUCAGCGUCCUCAUAUUUGAAUCGAAGUAUGUCUCUCAGACUCUUAUCUAGUGACUCAAAACAGUGCUUGUGUGUCAUUGGUGCUUCAUCCCAUAUUAUAGUGAAGUUUUCUUCAUUAGCUCCGCAAGAAAUGUUCGUUGCUUGAUGUUGCAUGUUGACUCGUUAGUAAUCUUGAGCGGAAUGUGAAAUCUUGAAUGAGUUGUUCUUCCACCCUAUAAAAGAAGUGCUGCUAUACCACUUGAAGCAAUUGCUAGAACUAUUUUUCCUUCGGAUCUUAAUUUUGUUGUGACUGCUUUCCAUAGAAAUGUCUUUCCAGUUCCACCAUAUCCGUCAACAAAAAUCAAUUUUCCAAGACUGCUGUUGACUGAUUCUAUUAUAACAUCAAAAGCCAUCCUCUGAUCCUGAUUUAGCUUUUGCAGUAUCUUCGUGUGCUCUAUUCUUAUAGAAUCUUUAUCGUAGUUUAGUUCCUUAUUUACUAAUCUAUUAUUUAGAUCUUGAAGAAUCGAACUAUCUGGUAGUGGCAUUCCUUGAAAACCUUUGAGGGAUUUACCACCUUUAGUCAAUAGUUGUUCUAUCUCUGCCAGGAGUAUGCUCUUUAUUUCCACCGAGUUGAGUUCCAGGGCCUGAAAAUUGAAUAUUCUUCUUUGCCGACGUUGGAUGUCUUUAGAUAGUAACUCCCAAUUUGUUUGCCACAACUUUGCUGGAUCUGUCACCUCGCAAAAUAAAAGUAUUGUGCAAAAAAGUUGGCGCAUUUGAGCAGCAGAGGUUAUGGGAUGCUUCCUUGAUGCAGUCAUCCUACUCUUUAUCAUCAUUAAGUAGCCCAAGAGCAUAACAUGUGGAUUUGUAUGUUGGAUGUACAACCCCAUCAACUGUUCGAAUUUCUUCAUACGAUCUGCAUCCUUUCACGGUAUUUAGCAGCAUUCUCAAGUAGUAUUUUUCACCGCUUGUUGGUUGUGCAUAGUAAAUUCUGCCUAUGGUUUUUUUCGGCCACGCCUUCUCCUCCAUUCUUUCUCUUUUGCAUGCCAAGUCCAUUUGGUUGGAAACUGUGCAUACGUCAAACUGCGAGCUUCCUCAUGCAACUGGUUGACUGUCAUCCAUUCUAUGAACAUUGUCUUUUCUAUGUUAGGCCGAGAUACAAUUUUCUCUAAAUCCAUUGAGUCCGGGAACACCACAACAUGUUCAUUUUCUAGGUGAAAUUGUAACCUUUCAACAGCAGGCUCUCUGUACUGAAGAGGAAACUGAAAUAUGCGCCAUGCGGCUUCACAUCCAGAUAUGUACCGGGCAUCAAGGUACCUCUUGAUUUCAUCUUCCCUGUUUGUUAAUUUGGUAGCUCUUGUUUCUCUUUGUUGCUCUUCUGCUUCUAGUAAGACGGUUGUUCAAUCUUCUCCUUUGUGGAUGUAUUUGAAUAAAUACUUUAUAGAUCUUGAUCUGUUGCAACAUUCAACAUUUAUGUGGGCUUGAUACUUGAUCAUUCGGUUUCUACUGUGUAUGGCACAACAAAUCUAUUCUCUAGAUUCACUCCAUUCUUUCUCCGCAGUGUUGCCAUCAUCUCGUCUUCUAUAUACUGGAUAGUUAUCUUCAUCUAUGGUAGUCUCAGUGCAAAAAUUCUUGGGGAAAUGUUUGGCACAACUUUUAUCGACCAUGCAGUGUGCUUGACCACAUGUACCAUGUAUCAUGUAAUUUUGCACUGCUUCAUACCCUUCUGGAUCACUAUUCUUAUCAGGAAUUUCGGCUGAUAUGAUUUUGUCUAUCUGGGAAGGACUGGGAUCUUUAUCAUCUAGGUGUAGAACACCAGUAUGUGUGCAUGUGGGAGGCCUCUUUUCUGGAACUCUAUAGUGUAAACAAUUGCAUGCAAGUAAACAAAUUUGAGAAGAAAUGAUUUAGGACAAUCAUCUAGGAAAUAGGAAUAUGUACUUAUUAGGUAAACUUACUUGCAAUUGUUUGUCCAAAACACUUCCCGUUUUUAUGUCAUUCAUAAGUUCCUUCAGUUUUAACAUGAAUACUCUGGCAACAAUAUCUGGACGAUCUUCGGGUUUCUGGCCUGGAAUCAGAUCCAACAUAUCUUGUAUUUCCGGCCAUUUCGGAUUGCAUGUAAAAGUAAUGAAGAGAUCAGGAUAGCCAGCCCAACGACAAAUCGCCAUGGCAUGUUGGUAGUUUUGCUGCUUAUUUCUCGGAUUGCCAUUAUAUGAUGAGGGCAGUAUGAUUCUUUGUCCAACUUGUUCGGUUCGUGUAUCUCCAUUUUCUAUUGCAUCAUGCAGUCCUCUGUAUAGUUCUGUCCUCAACUUAGCUUGGUUUGGCCUGUACCAAUUUAGUCUCCACUGUUCAAUGCACGUUGUUGCAUCAACUAAGAACUAUAAGAACAAACGCCCACUCAUUUGCAAGGUUGCUGCUUGGUUCAAACGUAGUUGUAUGUGAUACGCAUAAAAUUCCAGCAUUUUUACAUACUUUCUUUUACCUUUGCCUGAAAUCCUCUGUAACAUUAUGUCUUUGGUCUCAACUAUUAUAUCAAAUUCAUUAUUUUCUCCAUCUUGUUCCCCGAUAAUUAGUGCUACAACUUCUGUGGCAGAUGGUAGGUUGUAUUGCCGUCCAUCUUUCGACCUUUUGUUGAUCAAUCUUAGUCUUACAUCUUUAAUAGGUCGGUUUUGGAAUCUGUCCCUUGCCAUACGAAACGAUUUGACUAAAACAUUGUGCUCAUCAAGCAUCUCUAGUAGUCCUUUGACAAUGUUUUCAUCUGGUUGUGUCUUACUCUCCGCUGAAGUUGAUGCAUUAAUCCUAUUCAGCACUUCAUUUUCUGUGUCAUGUAUGUACAAUUGGGCAAAUUUUGGUUCCAUCACGUCAUCUUAAGGAAGUAAAGUGCCAAUCUGAUGGUAAUUCUGGCCAUUCAAACAGAAAACAUAUGGUCCAGAUGCCUGCUUAUUAAUUUCAUAGUCAACCUUUCCUCCCAUUGAAGUGAAUGCGAACAUCGAGUUGUACAACCUGAUGUUUUGGCGGAAAUUUGAUGAUUGUCCUCUUUCAUUGUAACGUAGUAGCUGCCGGAGAUACAGCGGAGCUUGUUUCAGUGGUGGUAAUUUAACUUUCCCUUCCUUGCAGCAGAGACCAAAUUUUGGAACUGUGAUGUUACCUGUGUUUGUGCUUCUCUCUCCAUGCCACAUAAUGGCAUUGCAAAAUUCACAAACACAAUUUGGUUUUCCCAAAUAUGAAACUUGAGUGACAUCCUUCGCUACAUUAGAUACUUCACAGUCAUUGUCCUUUUCUGUCCUUAGUCGUUUGUUUCUCUUUUUCAUUUGGACAAUCUCUUUCCUUUUCCGCCUAGCUUCCUUCGUUGCUGCUCUAAUGAUGUCUGAUUGACUAUCAUUAUAUUCUAGUGUCGCUAGUUUGGAGGCUGCUUGCUCAGGUAUUUGGAUUCCUUGAUGACGCCACAUAUUGCCGCAUUACAUUUUGUUAUCAUUUUAAUAAUCCAUGUAAAUAAGCAUAUGAUCAUUUUUUGGUAUUGUGGUAAUGAAUACCUUCCGUUGUUUUGAUUUGCUCCAGUGCGUGUUGGUAAUGAAUACCUUCCGUUGUUUUGAUUUUCGCCGGUGCGUGUUCGACGCAUGUUGACUGCGGCUAGUGAAUCCUGAAAUAAAUGAGGUAAAAAAGUGUAAUGCACUUUGUCUAAGAACAACAUAGACCUCAUGGUUUCGCAUUGCUUUUAUUAGAAGUACUCGUUGGAUAUUUAUGUCUCAUCUGAGAUAUCAGAAAGUGAGGUCAUCUUAUAAGUAAUUGAUUUUAUUUGUUCAGAAAUUCAGUAUUGCUUAUGAUAUUUUUUUCUUCGAGAAAACACAAAAGAGCUUGCGUUUCUUUGCACUGAAAAGGGGGGUUAAUAGUUACAAUCCUCCUAGGAGGCAGUUGCAGCUUAUGAUAAAUUUAAUGUAAACUUGUCACGCACCACAUUGUUCGCAAGGAUGCUGAAGGUAUUUGUAUGGAACAAUCAGUUUACUGAUAAGAUUGUUUUUGCUAUGGAUUGUUUUCCAACAAAGGAUUCUAAAUCGCCUAAAAUAAUUGUUCUAUUGUGAAAGAAGGAUACAUGUGUUGUCACCUUGUAAGGAGAGGACGUAUGUGCUCUGUAAUUGGCGAUCUGAAUUUCAAGUUUAUCAUCGAUUUCUCUCUGUAAUUUCAGUUAAUACAAAGCAUGUGUAAUGAGAUCAGAGAGUUGAUGCAUAUAUUAAUCAUGGAAGGAGACAUGCAUGUAUUAUUUGUGGAAGGAGAUAAUGAACAUUACCUGCAAGUACUGCCACACAAUCUGUCUGUCUUCUUGCUGCCGGCGAGAGGAAUAAUUAUCGCCUGUAUGCGAUGAAGGAUGAGAUCGGGGGUGAUGUGUUACCGGGAUGUGCUCGAUAGAAUUCUUAUUGGUAUAGAAACAUAGUUAAGGAAAAGAUUUUUUUUGACAUCUUAGUUAAGGUUAGAGUUUGUCAUGUGUAUGCUUUAAACCUAAACUUAUAUCUGAGCCGUUAUUAUUUUGUCUCACCGGAUAGAUGGCUCCUACUUGAAGUCAGUUUCCAUGUAUACUAAAAUAUAUGCACGUCUUUGUUUCUUACACGUCUUGUCUACACGUUGUUUUUCUUCAGAGAUGUAUGUUACACGCAUGAUUCCUUGACUAUAUCUCCUUUGUGGAAUACUAAUAUUUAAUUCCAAUCAAAAUCUGAGACAUGGAUGGUCACAUAUGAUAGGGCUAGAUGGCAAGAUGGAAUGCUCUAUGGAUUGGCAAUGCGGAUUACAAAGUGGUGCAACAAAAAAUGCACAAUUGGUUAUGGCUCUUGGCAAGAAUAGAUGUCGAUGUGUCAUUGAUUCUUUGGCCGUCAUAUGCUUCAUCUCUAGCCAAUCAAAAUGUGAAAAUCUGUAUGUCGUUGAGAGGCCUAUUCUGUAGCGCAUCAACAUGUGAAAAUCACUAUUAUUUUCCCAAGCAGUGUUAAUCUAUAAAGCUAUGCUUCCCC
rnacentral:lncRNA from 1 species